AAGCUGAUGAUCCAGCAGUGUUGCGAGGAUGGCUUUAUGGGCAGCCCAGGGCCUGCAGGGAAAUGGCUGCCAUGAGGAAGAAAUCUAGGGAAGCUGAGUGCUGCUGGAAUCUGAGUGGUGACUCUGAACCCCUAAGCUUUAUCCAGGGAUUUCUCAGCAUCGCCUGCCUGGUUUACUAAGGGAGAGGGUGGUGACGAGGCAGUAGCCGUGAGGCAAGGCAAGCAUUGGGGAUGUUGUGAGCAGGACAUGGGAGAGCAGCGAUGCCAGACUGAGCGCGCUAAGCAGAUGAGUGUCGUGGGGAAAGGUAUGUGAUGGUGUAAUAGCUGUCCAUGUCAUGGAAGGCUGGAUGGCUACAAGCAAUGAAAGUUGAAAUCAAUCCCAAAUCCUGCCGAGUCCAGGAGACCUUCACACCCAUGAAGGCACCACUGCUGAGUCAGGCCAAUGGCUGCAUGCACACCCAAGAAAUACACACGUGCUGAUAGAAAACAGAUUUAAAAGGUACCUAAAAUAAUAGCUUUUUAAGACAGUCUUACGAUCACAUAACUUGUUGGGAAAAGCAUACCAUGGCUCACAAUCUGAAUUAAACAUUGUCAUUGUGGUAUAGAAGAAGGUGCAUGCUCAGGAGUUGCUAUCUAACUGAGUUGCUGAAGACAGCGAGUCACUGACAGAGGAGUAGGAAUUAUCAAAAGAGAAGUGUCUGCCACCCUGUUUCUUUUGUGCUAACCACCAACAGCUGGAGACCAGGCCGAAGAGAGGCAAGAGAAGCACGUCUCAAGGAAGCAUGUGCUUAAGCACGAAGAUGAACAAAGCUUCCAGGGCUAUUCAAAUCAGCUCUGGCUAUACCAAGUCCAUGCCUAUCCCUUAUACUUUCCAUAUAUUUUAAUAAAUUCAAAGAGAGCUGCUGAGAUUAAAGGGAAGAGCUUUGUGGUGGACAACGCGAAAUGAACAGGCUCUUCCUGCUGUGCAAGGCAGCGACUUGCUGAAGAUGGAGCCUGCACAUCAGAGGAGAGGAUCAUAAGGAUUCUGCCAGGUUUUAAUGCAACAUACCGGCUAUUUUGACUUGGUCGUCUUCUAAUCAAACUGGAGAUGUUUAGCUAGAAACUCCUUUCCCUGUUAUUUCAAACAUAGCCCAAGCACAGCUCCAGUGUCUGCUGAGGAUAGGUUGGGCAUGGAUGGGAGAGAGCUGACCCUACCUCGAUUUGUUGUGUUCCUUCCUUAUCUGCCCAUUCUAAUGGAAGUCUGCCACACAUCAUGGAUGCAAAGUGUGGAGCAUCAGAUGUUCACAGCUUCCCAUUGUGAAGUGAAGGUGUUGGGACCACUUUGUCUUCAGGACUGGACCAACGCUUUAACUACAAGAAAGUGUCAGAUAUGCGGGAUGAUGAUGCAUGGAAAGAAGAAAAACAUUCCUGAGUCAUCCUGUUUCCUGAGCAUAAGGAGGCACAAGAUAGUAAGUGUUGGAUUUUCAUCCUACCUUUACAUUCUGUGAUGGGGCACCAUUGCAAGCUCUCCUUACAAAGCUUUGAGCAGAGAGAUUAUCAGAACCAUGAGGUUUGUGGUGUAUUCACAACGGAACAGGCAGCUUAAAAAAGGAUGUACUAUUUGAUCAGCAGUUUCCUGCAUAUGGAAAUCUUAGGUCACCUUGCUGUUCCUUGAUGUCUAAAAUCUGCUAUCAGGCUUCUGCAAGGAAAUAUAGAUUAGUAUUCAGUGCCUUGUAGUAUUCUUUUAUUAAUAUUACUAUUUUUUCAAUUUUAAGGACAAAAACAGCAGAACAGUGCUGUGAUGACAAGAAGCUGAGUGCUGAGCCCACGCAGGGCACUGGGGAGGGUCACUGGGAGUGAGUCAGGUUGAUGUCUGCUGAGAUGGUUUUGUUUGCAGUGUUUUCACACGUGUAUUCAAUAAGGCUUUUGUUUUACUGAAAGGAAGAGACACUAUACAGCAUUAUCCCGAUUUUGAAGUGACAGUGCCAAGGGGACUUCAGUAAAGGAUUUGAUGGCAAUUGAAUCUGAAAAGUAAAGCUUUGUAAUUGCUUAGUUAGUUUUGAAGUAAUGCUUAUAUUUAAGAUUUAUGUACAAAAACAGGCUAUAUCAACAGUAGUGAAGUGGUUUUGGGCCAAGUCUUUUUUAAAGCAACUUAUGAACAGAAGGUCAUUUCAGAUUUCUUUCUUCUCCUGCAAAGACACAAACACAAAUCCCACCUCGCUGUGUUCGUAUAAUAUGUAAUACAUCAUUAUGCUGCAUUUAGUAAGUGCUUGUACUUCCACAAGAAUAUCUGAGCUUUACUCUUGAUUAUAGUAAACUUCCCAAUGCAAGUAAAAGCAAUUAUUAUCCUCAGAGUUUCUGUGACCUGUUAGGAAGACAUAAGCUGUUACAAGACUUCUGAAGGCUCAUCUUACAGUCUGUAAAUCCCACCUUAAAAAUACAUAAUUUGGAGACUAUUGAGUCCUCUGAUGAUACUAUGGUAUUGAAUCAUCUUUAUAUAAUUGUGCUGGUGAAUAUAAAGUAUCAUUGUUUUCAGCAUCUUUUAUGAAAGCUGUUUUGACCUUCAGAUUAAAGGAUCCAUAUGGAUUUCCAAAUGAAAAAGUUGGAGCUCCUGUUUAAAACUUGAACUCCAGCUCGGCAUGAAGGCAUCAGAUGUGCUUCCACUUGAAAAAGCGUUGUUGUACCAGCAUAUAUCCCGCCUGAAUUUUUCUCCUGGGUAAAAUCUUAUAAAUGUGUGUAUCGUGCAUAAUGAGGAUUGGAGGUUAGCUGCUUCCAGUGAAUUCCCUUUCAAAGUGUAAGGAAGAUGCAGAGCAGCAAGGAGGAGAAAUCCAUUGGUAUUUGAGCUCUGUAGGAUGAAGAGGUUUGCUGCUGGGGGAAGAUCAAGAGGAGGCAGUAGGAAUAUUUUGGGCACUUCUGAAGGAGAGAUGGAGACCAUCUGGUAGAGAGGAUGCUUAAAGGAAAAGUGCCAGGACAGAGAUAAAAGUAAAGGGAAAGGAAAUAGUGACUGAGUAACAUCAAAGAGUGAGGCUGACUAUAGAGCAAAAAGGAAGACAUAGCAGUGACCCAACAUAGGCAAAUCAUAAUACAAAUGGUGGCACUGGGCGACGAAUCCAUAUGAAUCGGUGAAGGCUCGGGGGAAAAGCUCAGCAUUUUAAUUUCAGGAAAGUCUACAGGAAAGUGGUGUUGACAUCUUUGGAUGGCUUAUAAUUUAAAACUGAUGCAGUAAGCAGGGUUCCCGCUGCUUCAGAAAUACUGUCCUGGAGUCUAAUCCAGAUACUGUAACUACAGCAGAAUUUUAAAUGGAGAGAUGCCAAGAAGAAUGUUUCUUCCCUCAUCGGCAUCAGCAUCUUUUCAUUUGAAUGACUUUUAGGGCAUUAGAUGUUUCCGUUGAACUGCUUUCUAAGGCUCGUGUCCUGAAGCAUUGGUUGGUGUGUGGUCCUUCCCUGUGUUGAGCUGGAGCCGAUCUCAUGUAAAGAAAGGAAGAUGCUGGUUUUGCUUUUCUCCUGCUGAAGGAGAAUAACUUUGGGCCAGUCCCUUUCUCCUGCCAAAGUCUGAAAAACUUUUCUAUCAUUGGAAUUCCACUGAGAGUGGAGCAGUGGUAAGCCCCGUGGCUUCUAUGGGUAGAGCAGUACAGGCUAAGAGAGUCUGAUCAUCUCUUGUGCUUUGUUUUACACCCAACCCUAAACAUGGUGAGUCAGGACAGGCGAUGGGCCUAAUUAUAAAGACUGUCUGUGCUCCUGCCUCUCUUACUCCUUCCCAUCUGUAUUUAGGAGGACUUUCUGCAUCCUAGGGGAACCGUGCUUUAGGAGGAUUUGAGAUCAAGGCCUGAAAUAAUCUCAUGGUUUUCUUCCUGCCUGCCUUUCUUUCCUUCUUAACAAAACAGGUGUGUUACUUUUUUUACUGAAGUCGGUCCAGGGAAAGGAAAAGAAGAAAGUACUUCCAGAGGGUAAUUAGUCCCAUCUUAAAACAAGUGUGUAAGACAGGUAGGAUAAGUCUCUCUCUCUGAAAGUGCCAAUCUGUCACCACUAUCUAUAGAAGGAGCCUUCACGAGUAGCUUAGAGUAGGUGUUUGACUUUUACACAGUUAAAUUUAGAGGAGAUGAUUGCCACUUUUUAAGUCAGUCAAAGUGCUUGUUUAUAAUUGAUUAACCAUUAUAGACUGAAGAGUUGUGAGAGAGAACAAAAGUAAAAAUAUAAUGCCAUUGAUAGAGAUAUCGUGUAAUACGGAAUAGCAGUAACAGCAAUUGCAGAUGGUUAACAUUUUCAUUCCCCAUUGUUUUUAUUUUACUGUUAAAUCUUCCCAGAUUUUAGGUCUUGUUUGAUCCUGUAGAAGGAAAAAAUUUCCCCUGCUUUAGUGUAAGCAAAAAACUGCUGAAAUAUUUGUAGGAUUAAGAAGUGAUUUGUCCUGAAAAUGUCAAUUCUUAUAUGUAGGGUCAUUAAUCCAUAAAAUGAAUUUGCAAACAUUUCUAAGUUCCCUUUCGUGUUGUUGGUGUUUUACUUGACAUGCUUCUGACCGCUCUCUCAAUGAAGGCUGCACUCAGAAGAUCCUGCAAGGCGUACACUGACAGUGUGUGGGACUUGGUUUUGCAUGUGUCUUGACCUGGCAUAUACAGUCUGUUACAAUGAAAUAAACUCACUUGUCAUUUAAGAGUAUUAAUCAUAUUUCAGGCUGUUGCCCAAGAAUUUCAUUGUGUACAAUGCUUUCACCAGCCAGAACCAUACUGCAGAAAGUAAAUAGAUAAAAUCACUUUCUCUAGUAAAAAUAAUUCUUGACUACAGCCUCGCUUGCAGAGUAGAUAAUGCUUGUAGAAAUGGCAGAUGCUCUGAAGGUUUGGAGUAUUGUGACAAUAAGAAUUUUAAACAAAGUUGGAAAAAGCAGAUGGUAUAUAUGGACGGGAAAUCCUGUGGUAGUUUUGAUUUUAUGCAAGGAAAAGAAGGAGUUCCUUAGGUCCAUAAAUCUGUUUGUUUGCAGUACUCAAACAGAGAUUUUCAUGAUCUUAGCUUUCCUUUCUUCAAAAUGUUGCUUUCAAGUACAGAUGGGCCUAUAUACCACAAGUUUGGGAUCCAGAUUGGGGCUUGGACCUGACAUUCAUCAGAGCGUAAGCAUAUUUGAACCUAGCAUUUGAGGUCAGCCUCUUGUGGAGUUAACCACCUACUGAUUGAGUAGAUCUCUCCUAUAUGUCGAGGCAUAGGUGUAGAAAGUACAAUGAUUUUAUUUAACUUGAUCUGUAAGGUAUUUAAAUUUAAUUCGGAAGACUUCUCAUGAAGCAGGAGGCUGUAUUUAUAAUUAUUAUUGUGUCUGAAGGGUGAAAUUACAUAUGACAAUUAAAUAUGGUGGAUAUUAUAAUAGGAUACAUACUUAAAGUGGUUUCCAAUCUAAAUGUGUUUGAAGUCAAUAGGAGUACCUACGGCAAAGUAUUCGGAUCCUGAUUUAUAAUCUACCACUUUUACCCCAGUAUGGUUAUUUAUGGAUAAAUUGACCUGUUCCUAGAAUAGAAUAUGAUAUGUUAGUAAAACUGUACGCCUAGGUGUGGAAAGACAAUUAGCCUAUAAACACACUGACUUCCUCUUUAGGUUGAGAACACCUCAUAUUUCCAAGACUAAUGGUUUCUAAUCUGUUUUUAAAUGUUCCAUUUGGAUAGUGAAGGCGUAACUAUCAAAACACUGUAAAAUCAUAAUGCCUGUGCAGCUAUAAAUUACUGUUUUCAAAAUGAGCUGGAGGUCUCCAACUUAUUCCCAAGUGCAGAAAAGUUAGAUAACAUAAAACUGCUCAGAAAUGACUAGAAGCAACUUUUCUGGCUUUUUCCAAAUGCUAGGAAAUCGUGGAUCUGCCCACUAACUCCCUAGCAAUGCCCAUAUGGAUAGCAAUAAAGCUAGUCCCAUAAAGAAUACUUGAAUUGAUCAAAAGCAUUUCAGAUUAGAGAUCAACAGAAAGAGCUGUGUUGCUUUUUGUUUGUUUGUUUAUUUAUUUAUAUCCUGGAAAUCUCUCUGAUACGAAAAAUAUCUGACUUAUUUUUCAUUCAUCAAAUUGUGGACUGCUUCAUAUGAGAUACGAACUGCAUGACCUGCUGAUGGCGAAGUGCUGCUUCCAUGGAAGAUGCAGCUUUAAACAAUAAGAGAAAGCAUCAACCCUCUCCUGCCAUAUUUUGAACUUUGGAGUGUGCACAAGGAUGGAAAAAUACAGAAGGAUGGAAAAACACAAGGAGUGGUGGGACACAACGCAAAGUGAGUCUGAGCUGCCUUUAACUUCAGCCUUUGCACUGUGCCAAUACACCAGGAAGAUGCAGUUUAUUCUACCAGGAAUGCUGAUAUCGCAAACACCUAUUUAAACACAGAAGUGUUGGAGGUUUGAACAUCUUUUAUGAAUACUACACCACUGUUUUAAGAAAAGACAAAUACAAGGAGGGAGAAAACAGAACCUCUGGGAUUUUUCUUUUUCCCUACAAAGUGCUAUGGGUGAAGGCUGUGGAGAAAAAUCUUCCCUGCCAGAAGCUGUGUACAGCAUGGGUUUCCCCAGUUCAGAUUUGAACCUCCCACCAGUCGUGUGACCUUCGGGCUGUGGGUGAGCCUGUGAUGACUUUCUUCUGUCUACCCAAAAGCUGCAUCCCUAAUGCAUAAUGUCUUCCCAGCAAUAUAAAAUAUCCCGGGUUGGGAUAUUCUAUGGAGAAACAGAUAUUCUGCUGUGAAAGACUCAAUGCAAUUGCAAUUUUUUGACAAAUGGAGUUUUUCUGAUCUUCCUGGGAGUUGUAGUGGCCAUAGCUGGUCUGAGUGCUCAGUGUUAUGAUGUGUUCUUCUGUGAUUGACUUGAAAUUUGUACCUGAGGGGUUUGGAGUAAGAGACUGAUGUUGGUAUUUCUUUCCUUAUGAGAUUUGGUGUUGCUCUUGUUCUUAGGAAAUCCUCACCUAGAGGCGAGAGUACCUUCAGAGAUCUAUUCCCUGCUGCUGAGCAUGGAAAUCUCAAUAACUAACUUUUUUGGAAGGGGUUCUGUUCAUAUGAGCUUUGCUUUCAUGUACUUUGGGAUUGUUUCCUGUAGUUCAGUGUUUCUGCAGUGAAGUGACAAUGCAAUCUAAGAGAUGGUCCGUCUCCCCACAGAACACCUUUCUCUACCUUUGUGCUUUCCUUUGGUCUCUAUAGUUUCCUAAUUUUUUUUUUUUGGUAAUCUUUCAUCUUUCUCAUUUCAAGUGUCCACUAGUUUUGAUCCUUACCAAAGAGCUUAUUUUUAUUUCUCAACCCUUUUGGUCUCAGAUAAGGGGAUUGAUCUUAACACUUUGAAAUCAGCAGUCAUUUGACCAUGGGCUUUGGAGACAGUUAAGCUCCCGAGGACCAAAACAGUGAAUACAGAACAGAAGCAGCCUUGAUUUAAUAUUGUGAACCUAAUAAGCCUAAUCCUCUGCUUUCUGGUUUUUUUUUUUUUCUGCUUGGACAUGGCCUACUGUACAGCAUUUCAGGUUUGAGGGGCAUUGAGAGAAAUCACCGUCACUUUCCAGAGCAGACAUCAAAGGCAAACUCACUUUUCCCAUUGCUUUUUAUCUUCCUUCUAUUUCUGAUGCAUACUUCAUAUUUUUUCCAUGCUGCCGCUCCAAUUUUUGCCCACUUUUGAUUUCUCUAUUAACAUUAAUUAGGCUCAUGAGCUUGAUCACCAGGUGGGUUUUCCCCAAGCUUCCACUGCAAUACUUCCCAUCAGCAGCAGACUUGUAAGGGAAUUUUGUUAAGCUGCAGAUAGGAGCCUAAUGUUAUUGGAUACGGAGUGUUUCAGUGCUAAGUGUGUUUUAUAUCAGUUGAAUUUGCCAGGAAGCAUUAUUGGCUUGAUUAUUUUUAAGCAGACAGGCUCGAGGGCCCUUGACCAGCAUCGGGGGGCAAUGAGAGAAGAGGGCCGUUAGCCAGGGGAAUGAUUCAUACCUCUGGAGCUCACCAAGUGCUCGUGUGUCUCAGGGAAGUAGCUCUGCAUCUUCCAGCUGAGGAAAAUGCAGAGAAGGGGGGAAAAAAAAGCCCUAAAAAAAAAAAAAAAGAAAGAAUGAAAGAAAGAAAGAAAAAGAGAAAAGUAAAUAAAUCCCUGGAUUCAUUUCUGGAGAAUCUCAGCGCAUGUAAAGUCAGCUGCUAGGAAGGAAGAUUGGCACACACCUUUUGGACAUUUUGUGCAUGGUUUUCCUGGGCAGGUUCUUCCAGCGUUAAGUUUUUCCUGUAUUGAAUGUUAAGUAGCAUAAAAUACGAGCUGUCACGGGGUGAGCUGCAGCUUUUGUAGCCUUUGUUUUGUGAUGAUUUGCAUAUUCAGAAUCUGCCUUGGGUCUUCUUGUUUUUAUCCUCCUUCUUUUAAAACUGCAUUUACCUGAAGAAGGGCUUCAUUCUGAGUGCACCAAAUAAGCGUUUUCUCUGCAGUUGACUUUAAUCUGACCAAAAGAAUGAACACUUGGAGCAGAAAACCUUCUUUGGGUCCUACAGGGCAUUAGAACAUCUCAGGUACUGGCUGCUGCUUUAAUAAAAGGAUAGGAUUUCCAUUUACUUCAGGCAGGCUUAAUGUAUUGUUCUUGUAGUGAGACAGUCAGAAUGAGUCAGGAGCCAAAGAAUACACUUUAUAGACACAAAUAAUCGUAAAUUCAGAAUGUCACCUUUAGGCAGAGGCAUUUUUAUUAUUGUUAGUGGAGCUGCUGAGUAGGUUUGAUGUUUUAUUCUCUUGAGUACUAAAUGUUCCAGAGUACCACAGCCCUAUCUUUAUCAGGCUCACAAGGAGGGAGCACAGCCAAACUUGCUUCCUAUACUUCUCUAUGAUUGAUAGCAGAUGGCAUGCUUUAAAAUAAACCUAUCCAUUAGCAGUCCUCAGUGUUUUUACUCAAGGCAUUUACAACUGUCUCACCCAGAAAACACAUUUGCUCCGCAAGCUCGCUUCAGUCUGCAACAGCUGUACAGGUGCAAAUCUUUCAUUAACUCUUAAACAGUGGUGAAAUAAAAGUUGCACUGUAUUUUAUUUUUAGUGGAGAGGUUGUUUCUCAAAGGAGGAGUGCAUUCUAUUAUUCUCCCUUUGCAUAUGGCAGAGGUUCAUGUUAACUGAUGCAAAGUCAGAAUAUUUUUCUUCUGUCCUCCUUCAAAUUUUUAGGGUGAGACAAAUGUGGAUGUUUGUAGGUGUACUCUAAAUGGCAAUACAAGGGGAUUGUAACUGGGGGCUGGGAUUCCUGGGGUCGCCCAGCUCCUCACCUCAAACAGCCCUGUGGGGGGGGAUCCUUCAUGGUACCCCCACCACUGCUUCAUCCUGGGGCUACUUUUUUUCUGUUCAUUUGGAAAAUGCAGGGUCACACACACACACACAGAUAUGCAUUCAACCCGAUUCUGAGCUCCCUUCUCAGUAAAUACAUUACUAAAAUCUGUCCCUGUAUUCACUUUACUUUGCUUAGAUUUCUAUGCAGUAGCCACAGAGGAUGUUAAAAUUGGCCUGGCAUUCCUGCCAAUACAACGAACCCUCAAGCACCUCCCAAAACAUUAGUGCACCAGCAGAUAGACCUUUAAAAUAUUAGUAGCAAACCUUAAAUAUUAGCAUUUAGCAUUAAUAUUAGACAAGACCUUAUAAUAUUAGAGCCAGAUAAAACAGUAUUAGCAGGGGUAUAGGAGUCAUUAAGCAGAAUAACCAUCACUGACUAAAUGGAUGCUGAAACUUUUACAUGCAAACCAGUGUAGAUGAUAGGGACUUCAGAGAGACGAGAGGAUCCUUUCAUUUAAAAGGAGGUUGUAGAGACGAAGGUUAGGGAUUUGAAAGCUGGUAAAUAAAACAACACAGCGGGACAAGUGAUAUGGAAUGUGCCAUCUCGUUAGCCACAAUCACGUCCCGUGUUAUUUUUCUUAAGCUGAAAAGAUAAAACAAGCAGACAGGCAAUAUUCUGUUGCAAAUAAAUGGAAAUUGGGGCAUUUUUUUGUAUAAAUCUCGAGUUGCAGGAGGAAAAUACAAAUGCGUUCUCAGCACUGAAGGUCUAUGUAGGCUAACAGAGGUGCUACAGUAAUUUGGCAGGAUGGCGUGUGGCUCGCAUGCCCUUUUGCUGGCAUGAUGAGCAAAGUCUGGGGAACCUGAGCUUGGCACCAUGAAGGAGGGGUUGAAGCAGCCCAGGGUCUACAUAGAGCAGUGCUCCGGAGAGCAGCCAUCACCAUAGCUCAUGUCAGCUCGUCCCGCGAGCACCUGGAGGAUUUGGUGCUAAAUGAGAUGGGGGGAGAAAAACAAGGCCAGCUGUAGACAUAAGAACUUUAAGAGCAUCAGUGCUUGCUUCCAGCUAAUCUCUCCUGAUGACUCCUGUAAGCAGGCGAGGCUGGUUGGUGCUGUUAAUUAUUCAAAGCCCCGCACCAGUUUCAUAGCUGAGUGGUGUAAGAGGAUGUGUAGUGUCCCCAUUUCUUAGUCUGUCUGGGGGAAAGGCACGAAACGCAGCUUCUCCUGCCAUCCCUGCCUGCCAUCCCUCUUUACAGGUGGGAAAUGUGAGCCGGAGAGAGGCUGCAGCCAUCCCCAUCCCUUGGCCAUCUGGCAUUGUGAAACCUCACCUGUCUCUGUAGGGCCUGAUUUGCUGAGUGCAGGGAAGGCAUCAGGAGAGUCAUUCUGUAUCUUAACAUAAUGAAUGCACUGCUUUGAGGUAUUGUGCCCUACACUUUUGUGUGCAGAAUAAUCCAAAAGAUAUCCAAAAUAUAUGAUGUCUCCAUUGUUAAUGCUCCAUCAUAGGAAGAAAGGGAGGGAAGGGCACAUGCUUCAAGGUUUGCAUUACAUCCACAAUGUCCUCAGGCAGUACAAACAGCACGCUUUGAGAAUUACACAUAUUUUCUCUAUUUAUCACUUGCAUUAAGACAUAGAGUGGAAAAGGGGUGGCAGUGGAGUCAUGUGCAGCAUUAAAUACAUAUUCCUUAUGUUGUUUGCUGUCCCAAAGAGGCUGCCAAGGCAUUUUAGUACAUCUUAUUGUAUGAUGCAAAGCAGUUGGAAAAAAGUAGAAAAAUAUCCAUAGCAAAAAAAAAAAAGAAAAAAAAAAGCAAUAAGAUCUCUUAGAUCUGUACUAGAAACAAGUACCAGUACAAUGCUGAUAUGUCAAUUACAUGCUUUAUCUACAUACAGCCAAUGUACCUGCCAUUGCAGCUUCUUUUAGUUCCAUUAGAGAAGGCAACAUGUAUUUUCUUACGACUUUUGGAAUUGCUGAUUGACUUUUUUUUGUGGAAUUGAGUUUCUGUUUGGAGCCCAGAUCACACAGAGCUCCUUUAGCUUGGAGGUGGGAAGUGAAACCACUCAACUUGUGUUGCGCUUAGAGAUGACUUCUCUGUUAGCUUCUUUUGGUCCACUGGUGCUGUGGGGGUGGAGGUACCCAGACUGAAAUGAUUUGCAGCCUUCCAAAGGGGAAAAGUAACUGUGCAUGGAAUAACCGUGUGUAAAAUAGCAUCUGCAAUGCUCAGAGUCUGGUGUGUUUGGUUGCCACUGACCUCAGUGUGGCUAUUUCCAGGAGUCAGGGUGCACAGGUGCCUAAAUAUCUACAGGCAUUGGCAUGUACCAUCCUCCAGAGAGGCUAGGAAAGGUUUUCUUAUUUCAAUGAGAGCCACAUUCAGCCUCAAAAUUAAGCAUAUUCUUAAGUGCAUAUAUGAGCUGGGGGCCAUAGAACACAGCGUAUUAAGAUACCACACAUCACUGCAAAUUAUGUAGGAGCUAUACAGUAUAAUUCAAUUUAGUAAAAAAAAAAAAAAAAAAAGGUCCUUUUAUCCCCCCUUCAAACCUCUUUAUUUAUUAAUGAGCUAGAAAGAUGUGACGUUAUUAAGACAUGAACCAAUUUGCCCUGGAUGCCAUCCAGCACACCAGGAACCUGUGUUGCUCUGUAAUAGCCCUUUUUUUCUGAAGGAAACACUAAGUCCCAGGCCCACCCCAAGCUGGUGAGUGCUGGAGGAGGGCCUAUGGCCUGCAGAAGGGGAGGGUGGAGAGGGGCCAUGCUUACUUAAUCCCCAGUAGAUUUAGCCUUUUGGUGAGUAAGAUGGAUUUCUGAUGUUGGCCUCCAUGCCAUUCAUAGCAGUGUUCCCAGUAGUAAACUUGUGCCUGCACUAAAAAUCCCCCUCUCAUGCCCCCACUUCCUUGCCAAAACUAAGCUCAACUAAAAUAAAUCAUAUUUUAGGAAGCUAAUUGUGCAGCCAAAUAGCAGAAAGGUAUUGAAAAACUGUUGUGUGCCUAACAUUAAAUGAAUUUACAUUGGCAGUAGGGAGCAUGCAUAACAAAAAUAAAUACAGGGACAUGGCAAAAGUGUAAUCAGUGGAAUUUAAACAAAAAAAUGUAUGUAAUGCCAAACAUUGGGAAUGGUAUUCAGACUUACUGCAGAACUAAUAUUCUAUGCAGUCACUGCACACAAUUUUUUACAGUUAAAAUACAUUCUGAAUGAAGUUUGCUCUUUUAUCAGUUUAUUGUAUUUCUUGGAAAAUUGAAACGUGUCAGGAUAUGCAUUUUUCUCCCUGCUCCUGAAGUGUGUAUAGGUCCCUUCACCAACCUGUGGGCAAUACGUUAAGAAAAAAAAAGGGGGAAAGCUCUGGCAUAGGCUGCCCUGUAGAGGGGUCACCGUCCCUAGAGGUGUUCCAGAACCGUGGGGGUGUGGCACUGAGGGAUGUGGUCAGUGGACAUGGUGGGGGUGGGUUGGUGUUGGGCUUGGGGAUCUUAGUGCUCAUUUCCAACUUUAAUGAUUCUGUGAAAAAAAUAAAAUGAGGAAGAAAAAAAAAACCCAAACAGUUUUUGGAGAAGAUUUUAGAAGUUUCCUGAUGGAUCGGCAUCCUUGAGAUUAAACAUUCCCAUAUGUAGGUUGACAUUUGAAAAUGUAAGUCUUAUGAAAGAUAAGAUGGAAAUUAUGAGAAAUGCAGCCUUAAAUAUUUGGAAGCAUGACUUCCUGGUUUGCAUGGCAGUUGGCAAAACUUUCAGGGGAAAGAUGCAUGUGGUAUAGGGCACUCAUUUGCCUAAAAGUUUCCUCCUAUCACCUAAUGUUUUGGUGCUCAUCUCUUCCACACCUUUGGAGGAGAGCUGCAGCAUCCUCUCUGCGGUGCUUUCAACCCCUCAGACAGAUGUUUUAGAUCAAUUGCUCGAAACGGAUCAGUUUAGCAGUCAGAAAACACUGUCAGAAAAGGUUUGUGGUAGAGAAGACAAAACUGUGAAAUGAAAUUGAACUUUUAUCCCCAUUUGGAUGGGAACUGUGCGUGGCUGGAGAUCCCAUGAGGAUGAACACAGUGACCUAUCGUGCUUUGAAAAACCAAACAGAUGACAGGGCUCAUCUGCAGCCAUCAAGCAACAGCAGCUUCUGAGAAAUGGUGUGACCACUAUCAUGCAGUGCAGCAGGAACUAAGGGAAAGAUAAUCAUGGGAAAGAGGAAGGUCCUCCUGCAGCAAGGCAAGAUGAUGGUGAUCUCCUGCCAGGCUACAAGUAGCACUGCUGCCCUUGCUGUGAAGGUGUGACAACACAAGACAUGCCGUUGCUGCUGGACAUUGUUUGAGCCAUGAUUAAUGUGCCAGCAGUAAUGGGUGUCAGCAUUGUCUGGCUGCAAUUGGCACACCUUAUUUCUGAGAACUCAGGGUACGGAGGCUGCUGUGGUCACUGUGGCAACCAUGAGCCCUUCAACAAGACAGAGAGAUCUCAACCCAAACCGCUAUCUGUCUGCCUCUCCCUGGGUAUGUGUCAGCACGAAUCUCCAAGUGUACUUUCUUUCCCUUAGAAGGUGUUGUGUGCUGUGUCCCGUGGUGACCUGCACAUAUGCUGAGCUGGAACUCUGCUUGGCACCAUUCCUCAGCCUAUCCAUGUUGCAGUGCAAUCGUAAUAUCAUGAGAUGGCUUGGGUUGGAAGCGACCAUAAAGAUCACAUAGUUCCAACCCCUUGCCAUGGGCUAUGUGCCCCCUACCAGCUCAGGCUGCCCACGGCUCCAACCAACCUGGCCUUGAGCACCUCCAGGGAUGGGGCAUUGUCAUGUCUCCAAUGGCAAAUGUGUUCCUAUCAUGGACUGUGCCUCUGCCCCUCCAUCACUACUGUGCCCUGCAUGCCUGUGCCACUUGCUUUUUGGUCGCAUUGUACUUUGUUUCAAGAUGUUUUGCAGCAUGUUGCCUUUGCCUGCUUGCCUCCCUCCGUCUCCGUGCUGGAUGAGUUUGCAUUGUGUGGUGUUUUCCUCUUCAUUUAUUGCAAACAAAUCUGGUCUCUGCCAUUUGUUUACUCUUAUACUCUGUCUUUAUGCCUUGGUAUGCAUUUUUAAUUAGAUGCGCUUCAGUUCUUUCGCUGCUUGUUAACACUUUCGGAUGGAAAGUGCGGUCCCCACCAGCUCUGCUAGUAUUCUCUGUGUGGAGGAAAUGCAGAUUUGUUUCUCCUGCCCCUGAUUAUCAUCCAGUACCAAGAGUCGGGCCCCAGCCAGCCUGCCUGCUCAGACCCUAUGUUCCUACUGGGGAUGUUAAGAUGGUUGCCCCUUCUCAGCCAGUGUAAUUGAGGGUGCUUUACUCCAAAAUACUCUGCAUACAGAGAAGGAGUGUUUGGGCUGUUUGCUUGGACUGUUUUCAGUCCUCGUCAACUCCAGUGUGGAUGUGUGACAUAGAGGAGUCCUGGGCAGAGCCCGCGGUGUGUGCAAAUCAGCUGCGUGCUGUCCCAAGCCCUUCUGCACACUAUGAUCAGGAGCAUCCUGGGGAUGUUGGCCACAGAAUAAACAGAGGAUGGAUGAGCCUGGAUAAGGAUACUGAAACCCCAAGCACAAGGCAGUAUUCACAAAAAGGCAUCUUUCUUGAGUGCCACUAUUGAUAAAGCAUCAUUUCUUUUUCUUAAAAAUAGUGUGAGCCCAUUUGUGCUUGUACUAUUUUGUUCUGCUUCUGUAUCUGACUCAUGCCAUGGGCAGGGGCCUUCACCCUCCCUAGUGCUCUCCUAGACCACCAGCUUUCUGGAGAUGGUGUGGGAACUGAGAUGGAAAAUCUUGACCCCACUCCACCCUUCCCUUCCAGUUUGCCUGCCCUGCUGAAGCAUUCACUCACCUCCCUGUUUUGCCAGAAUUCGUGUGUUCUCCAGAAUUUAAGUUCCUGAGAGGGAUGGCAGGACUGAAAAGAGGUGAAAAUGUCUCUUCCCAUCUCUGAGAGUGUUCCCUGACCCGACUCUCUGACUGGGGGCGAGGUUGCCAGAGGUCAAUAUCCACUUCAGUGAGUAGAGAGAUCGAUAUCUGCUGAAGCCAAUGCCCAGGAUUGUUUCCUCUUCCUUGCCAGCACUAUAUUUUAUAGAGAACAGCCAAGAAAUAUUUCUCCUCCCUUCUAAGGAGAAGAAGGGGGAGGAAAAAAAAAGAAAGAAAAAAAUGGAGAAAAAGAAAAAAGCUUUGUCUUCAUACUUUCUUCCCCCAGGAGGGCAUUGCAUUUAGCCUCUGCUCUGCUUUUUGUUAUCCAUUUGCAUGGCACGAUGUUUGCUUUGGCCAAUAGGGCAGCGCUGGCUCCUUGACUGGGGUGGGGUUCUGCCGGUACCCAGCGGUGUGCAGAAUGGGGACAUUCAGCCCUCAGCCCUAGGUAUUUUGGGGAUGCUGGGAUGCAGAGGACAUCCCAGAUGGUGCGGUUUCAUGGGGAGCGCCAUGGUGGUGGGAGCAAAGUGCUCAGUGCUGAGCCUGAGCACUCCAUGGAGCCACUCCAUGGAGCAACAUCGUGUUGGCAGGAGGAUGAGGUGUAUGAGCUAAUAGGGCUUUUCCAUUUUAAUGUCUAUUCAAAAAUGACUCUUGGUUGCUGUUCUCAAACUCGGCACCAACCGUUCCUUACACCACACAUCAGAUCUUUCUUUCUUUUCUGCCCUUUGCUUCAUGGAGAAGGCUUUAAAGCAAACAAACACCAAACUAUGAGAAACCAAGGGAAGAUGCAGACUGGCCCACUCGUUAGUGCCGGAGUGUGGAAACUAUGAAGACUUCUUUUUUUAUUACCAAUGCUGGAAAGCACAGUCACCGAGUGGGCUGGAAUACAAGUUAUGCUACACGCAGUAGUUAAAAAAACCUGCAAAAAUGGGUGUAACCCGUGGCUGUGGUACAACUGGCCUUUCAGCCCCCACUUGAGAUUCGUCCAUCCCAGGGGGAAACUGUGGUUUGGAAGAACAGUGUACAUUUAAUUUCACUCGGAGAACUUAUUGGAGUUGGCACUUCAAGAAAGACUCUGAAGUAUAUUUUUUGUCAUGAUGAGUGGCCCCCUCACCACUGCAUUUGAUUGUGUUGGAAGCAGAAAAGUUAAAUUCUUAUAAAAUGAUGAUUUACAAUCCCUGAUGAUCCAGGUAGGGCGCGCGGAUUGCGCCAGCGUGGUUAUGGGACUCCAAUCUCAUCCUCUCUCAUUGCUGUGAGAAAAUAAAACCGAAAUGUAAAAAAGCUGAAAACACAUCCUCUGAUGGCUCGGGGAAUUUUCUUACUCAUACGUUAUCUUUCCUAGUAGUUUAAGUUAUUUUGUCUCCACUAAAACCCAAAGCAAAACACUGCCCUGACACUUUCCCCUUGAUUUCUGAUCUGCGGCAGCCAAAUUUAUUUUUAUCUCGUGUCGUCUUUUCCCCCAUGGUUAUGCAAAUCCUCGGAAUAAGGGGCAAGGGGAAAAGCUAAUUUUAAAGCCAGUAAAUUCCAGUGGGAGAUUUCUUCAGUCGCUCCAAGCGGGACUAUCCUGGGUGCUGUUGCAGAGCUGUGGCUACCUCCAAAUAACACAGGGGUAGGUGCCAAGUGGGGAGGCUGAAUAUUUUCCUUGUAGACACAUAGCUUUGCCCACAGGACUGAAGUCUCUUGCCUUAAUGCUGCAUUAAGCUUCUCUGGAAGUACAAAGCUGACUUAGGAGGCAUGUGUUGAUGAAAUGUACCUCAUUGCAAUCGGCUGCUGAGUAGAACCUCUACAUGGAGGAGUUUGGCAAUGGGUGAAGGUGGGGCUCAUCAGAACUAUCUUCAGGAAAGUGUGGGGCAUUGGCACCUCAUUGCUUAUUCCAGCAAACUUUCUCUGUUUUGGCUAUCACGUUCUAUAUUUUGAUAUACUUUUAGUCUUUCUUUCUCACUCUCUUUUUUUUCCCCUCCUGAACAGCGGAUGUAUUUUUAAAUAAUAAAUUCCAUUUUCUUCUUCAUUUCUCUAUCUUUUUCCCCUUAAUGCAAGCUUUACUCAAAUCUGUUUAAAUCCACAUUUAAAUCUAAUGUACAGUAAGAGAUACUCCACGAUUUUCCAGGCUGAAAAAUCCAGGAGUGUUCACACUGGGAUCUGCUUUGUGAGCAAACUCAAGUGUGUAUGCAAGUGUUGGAGCUGUAGUCUGUAGUUCAGUUUUACUGAAAGUACUGGAGGCAAUCAGAGUAUAUGGCAAGCAUAACGGCUUCUAAACAGCACUGUGCUCUUGUUCACAGUGCUGGUGCUGGGUUAGUUGAUGCAAUUCAUGGUCAAUGUCUGGAAUCACAAUCAGAUCCUCUUUGCUCCCCCUUUGAGUGCCGUUGCAAUACUGCAGCAAAUUAACCAGAGACUGCUGUGGGGCUGAAGUUUCUGUAUCCAGCAAAACUCAUGAGCCCCUCCUGGUGUGAUGUGUCAAGGGGAUGUAAGCAUAUCUGUAAAUGCUGUGUGGUUUGGGAAGUGUUUAAAUACUCAUGGAGGCCUUUCUCUGUUCUGGGGAAGGGAAGAUGAGGAUGUGAAUACUGAUGGAAAUAAUUUAGGUGCAAGGUCCCAGGUUUGGAAAAUUUGGCCCAUAAAAUGCAUGCGCUAGGGGUGCUUGUGGUUGCAUAAGAUAACAAAAUGCACAAGUCAUGUGGAUUAAUCUCUCGAGUUACUGCAGGGGCAUAUUGUGUUCAUGUUCGUGUAGCCUGAUUAAGCUGCGUAUGAAUUUACAUCCCAGCCUUGCAGCCUAAUAAACCUAUAUGGUUUAAAAUGCACGGCGGGGGCUUUGUGCGUAAAUUCUGCUCUCACGAAGCAUGGUGUGCACGUCUGACUCUUCUUAGAAAGAGCCGAGCGCGUCCCAUUCCGUCUGCAAAUGGGUGUCUGAAUGCCAAAAUAAGUAGGAUAAAUAAUUUGCUUGAAAUAUGUGUUUGGGAGCUUUCAACCUAGAUGCUCUCUUCCAAACGCUCAGCUCUUCAUUUGCAAAUUCUCCGGUUUGUUCAAACUUUUGGACUCCAUUUGAUCUGGCUGGAAAUGAGAGCACAUCAGGCCUCGUACGUAAUCAGAAAAUGUCGUGUGAAAAACGAAGACUGCUGGGAGUAGCAUCUUUGUGGGAUUCCAGCUAAACCAAACUCGUUCGGUGCUGCUCCAGCCCUGAGCAAACCGGCCUCAUGUCUGCAUGUGCAGCCUGGGUUACUCCUGAGAGCGGCUCCGGGAAAGAGUUAAGCCUGUUCUCCUCUCCUAGUUGGCAGAAAGUUUGCAGUUUAAAAUUACAUACUGACUCUGGUGUAGAGACACAAGAAAUUAUAGAGCAGACACUGUCCAGGACAACGUAUAAUUUAAAAUGUACUAAAGAAUGUAUACCACAUGGCAAAGUAAGUGAAGUGCUUCUUCAAAUAUAAGUGUUUUGCAUAGAAAGGCUGUAAUUAUCCACUCCUAGGGAAAUGUUUGCAUUCAUUCUAAAUCAAUAUUUACUAUUCAUCUCUUGUGUUCAACAAAACAAGGAUUUAACAUUUUUUUGUUUUAAUGAGGUACUAAAACUACAAUAAUGCUACAGUGUAAUUGUCUUGAUACAAAAUAUUGCUAAAUUGUGUUGCUAUUUCGGGAGCGAGCAGUUUUUAAAAGGAGGGGGUAUCCCUGUUUGUGCCAUGUUCCUGCAGUAACACAAUCCAAGCUCAGCCAAGCAGGGCGGCUCACCACUUCCAAAGCGGAGUUAAGCCGCCUCUCUGUUAAGGCCCUUAACUGGGAUCAUUCGGGUGAGUCCUCUGUCUCCCCCCGAAAACAUCAACCUCUUUAUAAUGAUUCCUUUUCAGCUGGCGUCUCGACAACAAGCAGAAGAAUGCCAUUUCUGUUUCGGGUUUAAGGUUGUUUUCUCCCCUCAGCAUCCUUCAGAGAGGCAGCAAGAGCUGAGCGGGUGGUAAUUGGGCUGCAGCCAUCCCUGCACGCUGCUCCGAACCUGUUGGUGCAAAUGGGGUUGCCUGAACUUCACCUUCCAGGAAGAAUUUGGGGAUGUUCUGUAGAACGGUGCCAGAGCUCUGUCCUUUAUCUUUUUUUUUUUUUUUUUUUUAAUGCAUUUUUAUGCAUUUCCUGGGCACUGCACAGUGUUGAAGCGGCCCUAAAAUCAUACAGGGGCAAGCAGUCCUCUGCAGGUGAGAGUAUGCUGGUGAAGUAAGAGCACGUGAAGAGGGGCAGAGCUUUUGGAGGAGCACCACUUUUAAUCACAGCCUUGCAUCUCUGCUGUGCUGUGAUUAAGAGGAUGCCCUUGCACCAAGCUCUUUCUCCUUGAAUUUACCUGACAUGUCUUAAGAGAGGUAUCUCUCCAACUACUCUAACUUCAAAAAAGAGAAACCACACCCCAUGAGCAUGUACUUCUGGCAUUGAUGUGGCUCCACGUGAAUCAAAUCAUAUAACUGGAAAGACUUUGUUUGGAAAAGCCUUUAAAAUCCUUUAAAAAAAACAAAAAAACCAAAAACAUGACUUUUUAUGCUUACGCUCUACCCACCAGGCUCUGCCCUCCUUUUCCCAACACUAAAUGCUUCCACUUCUGCUGCUAGAAAUCAUGGUACAAAUGUGAGCUCUUGAGUGAAUUUCAUUCUUCUGUUCAAGAAGAUAGCUUCGUUUUCUUUGUUUCUUACAAAAGAAAAAAAAAAUCUGAAGUCAUUCUUCCAAAAAAAAUCGUGCACAUAAAUAGGGUGAAUAGCCCUGAGAGAAGAGUGCUCUCUUUCUCUAGCAAACGUUAUUGAAGCUGGUGUUUUAAUUCUCCAGAUAUCUCUUGGUGUUCAGGGUAACAAAAGGCUGUGUAGUGCCUAAUCAUUCAGCAGCGAUCCAGGAAAAAGCAGAAGGUUAAGAGCAAGUUCCUAAAGUCUGUAAAAUCAAUGGGACGCUGGAAAGGGAACUGAAGUGUACCAGAAGGGACCUCUUGAGGGUCAUUAAAAAAAGCAGAAACUGAUUAUGAACAGAGCUUUUACCCAAAGAACUGGAGGGGGCCAGCAAAACCAUUCUGCUGCACUCCAGUUAAAUGUCUAAUAGUGGUGACAUUUUCUACACAGCCCAUAAAGGAUAAUGAAGAUGGCUUUGAUAGCUUUCAAGAUAGUUGUUCUUGUCAGUGUUCACAAAAACAUGACAUGAGCAUGCACUAAGAGCAUGCGGGUUGAGGUGAUUGCACCAAGACUGUGAAAGGGAAGAUGGCAACCCAAUAUUGGGUCUUCCACCUUUGUAUUACGCCCUAUUACACAAGAGGAAAAAAUUGUGUCAGCCUAAAAAUGCAAUGGAAGUGGCAACAGUGACAAAGCUCAGUGUUGUGCUUAACCAACAUCGUACCUCACCUUGGUGUGGUGGUUAUGUGCAGAGAGGUAGCGAUGUUGGGCGAUCUCACAAACAUCAGCCUAGAUUCUCUCUCGCUCCAAAGCAGAUGAGAAAUAAGAUUUUGAUCUAAAGCUUAUCAAAAUCCCUCAUCGUCAGCAAAGUUUGGAUCAGCACCUCAUAACUUUCUGCUCAUUUUCUGUGCUGGGAAAAAGCAACCUGCAGGAAGUCUGUCCCAUGGCAUGUUUGUGCUAUUCCUGUUUCUGACCCCAAUCUUCUGUGAGAUUUUGGUGAAUUGCAGUUUUACUAUGAUGUACGGGAACAGUUAAAUCAUGGCCUGAACCUCUGAUUGAUCAUCUGAGGCAAGCACCAAGUCAGCUGCAGGGGCACAGGUGAACGCAAUUUCACCUGAGUGACUGGAAGGGGUGGAGCCUGGCUGCACCCCUCCUAGACCCCAUUUAAGGGCUGACUCCCAAGGAGGAUGGAUAUCUAUCUGGAGAUCCUUCCUCUUGGAGCCCUUCUAUGAGCCCAGGAUGCGGGUAAGAUCUUUAUUUCAUUUCUGCUUUGUAAUGCGAUAAUCUCUCUGGUCCAAUAUCUGUAUACCUGUUUGCCAUAUGCUAUGAUUUAUUUUCCAAAAAAGAAAAAGAAAAAAAAAAAAAAAAAGGAAAAUUAGGGUAAACUCGCAUAUCUUACUGGAAUGCUCUAAAAAAAUAUUUGUUAGAAAAUAUUUGAAAUAUCAGUGGGAUGAUGCUUUAGUUCGGGGUGAUAUUGUUCAUCUUAAAAAAUAAGUAGCUAGUUCAUCUUCGGUUUUGGUCUACAGUGAAGAUGUGUUGGAAAAAAUAACAGAAACUUAGAGUAAAAAUCAACUUUGAGUUCUUUGUACUUCAGAGGAAGCAAACUUUUUUUAUAGAAAUAGAUAUUCACAGGGAUGAAUUGCAUGUGAGUCUGUUUACUAGUGGAAAAGCUGAAUUGUGAAACUUCUGUGUCACUGCUCUGUGAUUCCAACUAUCUUCAAUUAAGAGAAAAAAAAUGCAGGAAAAUCAGGUGGAAGGAAUGCAUGGAAAUUGAAGUCAAAGAAAAUAUUUGUUGUGGCCUUGGUAAAGUGAAUUUUCUAAGCUGAAGUAGCUUUUAAGCAAUUAACAUCUGCUGAGUGAAAUUACCGAGUGACAUGCAGCCCCAGAUGGAGGACUUGAACAGCUAGUGACCAUCUGGAUUUUGGUCUUUGCACAGAGCACGCUCUGUUCUGGCUCUCACCUGGCCUGUGGACAGCCCUCUAUCUGCCUCUCCUGCCACCGUCAGCCUUGAGUCAUGGUGGGGAGACCUGCAGGGAUGGUUCCUCUGCUCACAUCAACUCCAAAGAUACUCGAAUUCCCCAGAGAUAUAAUCACUGAUGACUUUGACCUUUGAGUUGUUGCCUUGACCCAGUUUUCCAAAAGGAGAAAAACUUACUGGGAUAAAAUCCACCUUUGAGCCAUAAGGGUCUUGAUACACAAUGGUUUCCAAUGAAACAUAUGGCGUGGGAGUCUUGGCAUCUGAAAUGCCAAGAAAAUCAGAUCUUAAAGAGAGAAUUUUGUCAGCAGGCUUUCAUAUUAAAAAAAAAAUAUAUAUAUAUAUAUAAAAUAUAUAUAUUAAUACAAUUACCUUCCUUAGAAGGUGUAAAAGAUGUCAGGCCCAACCACAGGGACAAUUCACUGACAAAAUUCAGUUUUUAAAGUGAAACUAUAGUUUUUUUUAAAUUCAAUGAAUAAAAAUCAUCUGACAAAGAGUUUUUGACUACUCUGUAUCUAAAAAUGAGCCAGCUUCAUUUAGUCUAUUUAAAAAUUGUGUAUUCAUACUGCUUGUAUGCCAAGUUCAGCAUGAUGGAAAUGAAAAUGAUUGAGGUAUAAACCCUUGGAAAACAGGGUUUAUAAUGGAAACAGUAAUUGACUUCUAACUACCGCAUCAAAAAUACAAUACUAUAAUACAAAGCCUAGCUCUUGGGAUCUCAGCUCCCUUCUAACCUCAGGUUGGCAGAAGAACACCUCACCACAAAGCUAACUAAUGUUUAUAGCUUGUUUUUUUUCUCUUGCAAAAGGAACAUGGCAAGUGAAGAAAAUUUAUAGGAACAAAGCAAAGUUGGCCAACAGUUCAAAUGUUCUCUCUUGUUAGCAACAACAUUCUUCUUCCCUGGAUGAAUGCUGUAUUUUGGCUGAUAACUUUAAUCAUGAAACUUGAGUCAGAACUGAGCCUUACUCUCAGCGUUAGAAAUAGUUCAACUGUUCCUCCGAAGUUCACGCACUUGGUUAUCCUAAAAGGAGAAGAUUAAAAAAAUGAAAUUUUUACAGCUGUUGAUUUUUCCCUUUCCCUGUAUGGCCAUGAAUAGCACAACAGGAAGGAGAGGAGAGAUGGCUGUGGUAAUGGAACAAAGUAGAUUUAUUGAUCUCAUUAAUGAUGCUUACCCAAGAUAGUCAUCUUUGCUUAGACUGAGCUUAGGUGCCAUUUUUGCUGCUAAUUAUGAUUGUGAAGACAUCAUGACAUCUUGGAUUAGAGUGAAAGUAGUGGUACUAAUUCUCAUUAGGAGCUGAAAACCAUGGAGGACCAGGAAUUUCAACAGGGGAACCAGCACUCAGCUAUGGCUGAAUAAGAUAGACCCUUCUAUGGAUGUGUGAAUUAAAAAUGAGUACUCUAGGAUCAGUAUGCACUUAAUAGAAGAAGAAAGAAAGACAAAUUCUACUGAGAUCUUUGUGCCUGCAGUACUUCAACAAUUCUUGCUACUUUAUGUAUUAUUAUUUUAUUAAGUUCAUAUUUUCACAGGUAAUGAAGAAAAACAGAGAAUGCAGGAGCACUUUGUGUCCAUAAAUGACUUUAGUUCAGCUACAGAUGAAGAAAAAAAGUAAUUACUUCUAUUUUCUUUAGGUAUUGUUGAAGGUAUACCGCUAUAAUCUCAGAUUUUUUUAUGUACCUGCACCUUCGCUUCUGCCAGAAUUACUUGCUGCAUUCAUCUAGCUGCAGAGAGACUCUGCUGAAGGAAAGAUUGCACGCAAGGACCUCAAUUCAAUGCCAGGAGACGUGCCUUAAUCUCUGGCUCACAGCCUUGUCAAAUGCUGCAGUAAAGAACUGGCAAGCUCAGUGCUGCUAAUGGAUUGAAAUCUCCACCAGAGAUAUGCUGUGCAACCUCAGCUUGCCUUUUCUAUGAGCAGCUGAAAGACAUUGCUAAGCAGAAUUUACCCAUUUGCAAUGGCAUUUUGAGCCCAAGCGGGCCUUGGGCAGGGUGCAAAGAGAAACAAAGAAGUUUGUCUGCGAGGCUUUUACUGAAUCUUAGCCAAAGGUACGAGUCUUUUAACGAAGAAAUACAGCUUCUACAGACUUGCUUUCUCUUCUUCAGUAUAAAUUUUGAUGUAUAAAUAACGUUCCUACGGAGACCUGGUCAUCUGCUGGUAUUGAUCACCUGCCUCCCUGUCCUCCAAGGUCUGAUUCAGUCAUAGCCUGAAACAAAUGUCAGCACCUUUACUGGAAAAUGUAGUAAACAGUGGAUUAGACAAACGAGAGGGCUGGAAAUGGGUCUGCUUCAAGUCUUACCGCAUACCUUGUGGAGUGAUGUCUGGAGAUGGUGGAGUUGUGUAUCCUCCGUUGAGACUGCCUUCAUGGCACAUUUGUUUCAAGGCAUGCAAUUGAGACGCUCGGAUACCGAUGUUCAGAGCCCUCUUCUCCUUGCUUACCUAAAUUUAGUUAAAGAGCCCUUGAGAUAAGUAGAAGUGCUGCAGCCACAGUCCUAGGGAGAAGUGUUCACCUGCUUGUUGAUUCACUGCCGGCUGUGUUCCCUGACUGCAAUCAGAGCACAUUUUCCCCUUCAGAAGUUUAGAAUCAAGGAGAAGGUAAACACAUGCCAAAUCUUGCAGUGAUGUUGGCCCGCUCCCAAAGUUGCAACAUAAUGAAGAAAACGUUCAGUUUAGAACUCUGUGCCCCUUUUUUACAACAUUCCUUAAGUUACUCAUGACAGAUGCAACUUUCCUGGCUCCAGAGGCUGAAACCAAGAUUCUGAGCUGUUAUCCUCAAGGAUAUUGCAUGAGCAAGCCCUCUCUACCAUGGCAUUACUGCUUCAUCCCAGGAAUAAUUCACCUGAUGCACCCUGAGACCUUGCUGCCUUUUUCACAGGGUAAUGUUAAUGGCUAAAAUGAUCAGAUGGGAUGUGACCUUCGGCUGCCCUGGGCAGAUUCUCCUGUGAGUCAGUGGUGGAUUUGGUUUCUACAGAGCUCAGCCACCUGCACCAGUCAAUGCUGGGGACUUCUCAAAGAAAUGGUUCCAAAUUCUCCCAGUGUUGAGUUAGCAUACUCCAAGAGGAACCCACCAGUUACAGAGGGCUUUGUAUUACUGGUCCAGGAGCAAUUUCAGUGUCAAAAUUGCCCCAGGAACUUUGGGAAUAGUUGGGCAAAAUGAUGGUCACAUCUGGCACCUCUCAUGAUGUUCCAGUUGUUUACUUAUUAGUGAGUGAGUAGCAUGUGGGGCUGCAGGAGCCCACAGGCAUCCACUUCCAAAUCCUCGGAGUUGCUGCAGUGCACAGCUCUUGCUCUUCUUUUAUUUUUUCUUUCCAAACAAGUUUUUUUAGCCUUUGACAUUUUAGGAGAAAUUUACAAAAGAAAAAGAAGAGAAAGAUAUAUUCUGAUUUCUGACAAAAUAAACUUCUGCAAGAAUUUAAGUAAGCAAUCAAAAACUAACUAUAGGUGUAAUAAGCAGAACUUUAUGUAUUUAUGCCCAUCAAAGAGGCAACAGCAGAGUAGUGUUGUCUAUCUAUGUGCAGAAAACAGUGGUUUUCUCAGCUUCAUCUCAUGAGUAUGCAGAUGUGGCUGUGGCUAAAGGAGAUGUGCUUGAAGCAGUAAUCAACCUUAUAAUUCCAAUGGUAAAAUUGCCAUGUGAAGGCAUGCAACUCCUCGAGGGCUACAUGACUCUCCAUACAGUCUUGGCACUAUGUGGGCACCAUUGGUACCCACGAUGCACCCCAGACCUUACCUACACUCUGCUCUGUGUCAGGACUCAUUUCAGGACUCAUUUUGAUCUCAUUUCAGAGGUGACUGUACUGUGGGACUGUACAGAGCCAUGCUGGAUCAGAAAUGGAAAACAGAACCAUAGCCAGCAACAGAUGGAUAGAAGAAUUUUGGCUGGAUGUUGCACAAAAAGGUCUACGUACUCUUAGGUUUGUGGUAGAAGAGUUCUCCAAGAUGCUAAUUUUAGGUACAGUUUGAUGUAGAACAUUUGUUCUUCAAUAUCGACGACCUUCUUCAAAAGCACACGUUAUUCCAGACCUUGGGUAUGACAUAAAGGGUUAAGCUGUCCUGUUGUAUGGAGAAGCCAGAGCCGCCUCACUGCUCUGUGAAAUCCAAGGAAAGCAGUGGCUCCCGAAAUGCCCUCCCUUGCCUCAACAGUUUGAAGACUGGUUUCUGUCCUAACUUGGUCUGAAUCUGCCUUUGGUGCCAUUGUGGAGGGAGAAAACACUUCAACUAUGGCUUUCCCAACAGCCUUUUCCUGGGAUGGAUAUUUUCUUCUACAGAAGAAACUUCUACAGAGAAAUUCUGAUACGGUCAACUAACUAGAGCAUCUGGUGUAUGCAGCUGGUCUAAGGAUUCAGCAAGAGGUGAGACCAGGAGCUGUUUAAUCACCACAAACAUGAAGACUAACCCAAGCAUGCUCUCCCUUCUCUGGAGGAAGUCAAGCAGCAGCACUGAGGCAUAAAUGUUCAAGUCCCUUCCAGACGUCUUGCCUGCUUCUGCCUUGAGUCACUAGAAAAACAAGGUGGUUUUGCUGGGUGGAGAUUUGUGUCAGAAUAACUUGCAGAACCGAGCCCUCAGUUUGCAAACGGCGUCGAACUUCAGUUCAUUAAAAGAAAUUUCAGAGGUGAGCUUCGUGAUGCUUUAAACAAUCACUGGAGGAAAAUAUUGGAGCUUUCCACCAAGGCCGUGAGCCAAGCCAGGUUCCAUCUGUGCACUCUCCUCUACUUGAGUGGUCACGUCCAUGUGCCAUUACUAAGGAUGUAUGGUGGAAUCAUGCCAAGCCUUCAACCUCACAUUUUGAACUUCUCAAUAAGAAAGACGGGGGGAUGGUUUUAAAAAGCAAAAGUCCAUGUUCUUAAGCAUCAUACUUGCUCUUGGUAUUACUGGCAACGGCUGCCCAGGAAUCACUGUCCCUGGAGGUAUUCCAGAACCACAGAGAUGUGACACUGAGGGACACAGUGAGUGGACAUGGUGGGAGUGGACUGCAGUUGGACUUGAUCCUAGAGGUACCUCUGAGAGACAAAGGUCAGGAAAUGGGCUCCUUGCCAGGCCACGGCCACGAUCCAGGUUUUCUGAGACUGAGUACAUUCAUCUGAGCUGUUAGCUGCUACGCUCCACCGCAUCCCUGUAUGAUCUGCCUAGGCUUGGUCCCCCAGAGGAAAUUUCUGCAUGCAUACUGUAUAUGAACUUUAGAUAAAUAAAUAAACACGAGAAACAGCUUCCAGAUAAUUGAAAGCGAGUGAAGGAGGGAGCAAAAAGAAAACAAUUUCUCAGGGGAGAAGCAAGCUGAGGUGGCAGGUGCAGCCUAAAUUCAGCCAAGGUAUUUUGGUUGUUCACUACCUUCGCGUAAUUAAAUAUUGAAGCACGCUGAGCUGUGGUAUCAACAUCUGUAUGGUACAAAUACCUUUUCAGCCCAGCUGGACUCAGCUGCAUUAUCUGUGACCUGAAAAGCACAUGCUCACCUUGGUUAAAUGGGGCUCGACUCAGCAAUAUUCAGCAGAGCUGCGGCGGUUCCUGGCUCCGGCCACCAAGGCUCCACAGGAUUUUCACUGCUCAGGUGUUGCAAAGCCUAAUCCUUAUUCAGGAACCAAAACGCUCCCCUCUCCUUGCCUGCGGUGCUUGGAUGCCUGCCUUUGGCAGUAGCCCCAGACUCCUGCAGAAGAUGAAGACAUCCCUCCAUGCCUAUAGAUGGAAAAGCGCCAACAUGGAUGCCAUCAGAAGGACGCAGCUGAGCAUAUGCUGAGAAAAUUGUGGCAUCCAUACUGUACAUGGGGAAGGGCUGACUGAACACACCAGUUUGUUGAAGCUUAUGGCCCUGAAAAGGAAACAUAGGUUUCCUGUAAAUGUCAUUCAGGGAUAUGCUAACUGUUAUUUCCUGGCACUGGAUCAUGAUGCUUUCAACACAUUCUGUUCCUCUACCUCUGCUGCUACCUCUGCUGCCUGCCUGCCUGGUUGUGCGCAGUGAUAGCUCUCCUGUCUUCUCACCUUUCCUCCUCCCCGCGCCAGGCAAAGGUAUUCUGGUUGGGAGGGCCAAUGUCAGCGAGCGAGAUGACAGACGGAGAGAUGAAAUCUCAGCCCUGCACUCAGCCUGGCUGCUGCCUGUACCUGGGCCUUGCUGCACCAUCCCUUGAACGCAAAGCAAUUCAAGGAAAAGAGUAACUUCUGUUACAUUAGAAAUCACGCAUUUCUGACCCAGAAAGAGAGGAAUUUCACAGUCUCUCAGGACAUGUGCUUGAAGGGAGGAUUUCUGGAGCCUAAACCAGAGGAGCCCAGGAGCUGCUGGUGUGAAGGCUCACCGCAAGCACCUGCUGCUUCUGGAGGAGUUCCUGUGGCAAUGCAUGUGCUCAGGAUGAAUAGGUACAGCUGUCCAGUUCUAGUAGAUAUUUUUCCCUCUGGUUUAUACAUAUUUGAAAAGCUACACAUGAAUAAACACAUAAAUUAAUGCUAGAUGUACUUCUUAUCCAUGCAAGUGUGAGCUGUAUGUAUAUAGAUACACAUACAAAUAUGGGCAUAGUUAUCAGCCUUGGUAUCCUACUUGUUAAGGUAAUUGUGUCAUUUAAAUUCUGUCAUACUUGGUUCAAGACAGAUUCAUUAACUGGUCCUAUUUAUUACUCCAGGAUCUGAGCACCUGUUUCUUAGAGGUAAAACCAGAAUAAAUCUCCUAAUUUCCCAGGUUCUUUUACAUUUUCGCUUCGAAAUAAUGAGACGCUUAUAUUCAAAGAAAAAAAAAUGAAAUAUCUGAUACUGAAAAAUACAAUCAAGUUAAUUAUUUAGGUAUACCGAGGUGAAAUUAUUGCAUUUGUUUGUCUGUGUAGAUAGUUUUCUUUGUGCUGGCAUAAGCCCUGAUGCUGGCCAUAUUCUGUGAACACAGUUAUUAUCAUAUUUAGUAUCUUAAAUGUGUACGUACAUAAUUGCUUUAUAUGUGUUUGUGCUUCCAACAUAUCAGACUGGCUAAGAGAGAGCAUCCAUAGCAGUAUCAAAUUGCUUACUGCUCUCUCCACAGUCAACUAGAGCACAAGGAGGAGAGGAAAGAACAACAGAAGCUCUGACUAACAAUUUCUCUCUCUCUCCCUAUUUAUUUAGGAAUCCAAGUUAACAGAAGGAAGAAACAACUCUUUUGUAGUAAUGCUCUGUAGGGCAUUAUCACAGCUAAUCUUAUGGUGGUAUGUUUUAGUCCAAAAAUGUUACUGCUCAGGUCCAUGCUACACCAUUUGUCAGUUGUUUACACCCUACAUAUGGAUUAGCACUGUAUGCCAGCCAUGAAAACCUGUUCUGCUCUUAACCCACCUGCAUGAAGCGCUGAAGCAGCUCACUGCAUCUGAUAUUUAGCUUUACUUCCUUAAGAUGUUGGACCACAAGAAGCAGGCACAGGUACAGGUAACUUGGUAGUGUAAUAAACUCUCCCCAUGUUUCAUCCACCAUUGGCUGUCAAGUUUAAAGAUGUUUGUAAUGAUUUGCCACUGGUGAAAUCCAAAGUAAGACUAGGAAUGUGUCUGUUUUGGCCAACUAGUAAUGACAGCUUGAAUGAUAUUGCACCAAAGUACUUUUGGACCACUAUUGGUUCACUGCCUGAAAAUAAAAUCUUUUUAUUUAUUUUGUCUCCUAUACCCACCAUUCAGAUUUCCUUCAGGAAACAUACCCUGGCCCCUGUCCACUAUCGGAUAGGUGAGAGCGAGGCGGUCUUUGCAGUGGUUAAGCACAAAUUUUGCAGAGAAGGGAUAAAGUGUUGUGGGCAAGGACCUGUGGGCUGAAAGUCAGAGUGACCAUGAUGCAGUGCCAUCACCCCACCUCACAGCUCAGAGUCUUGCAUAUCGCAUGGGCUGCCUGGAGCCUACACAGUUCACAGAGUGGAAAAAGGAAUUGAAGAAGCAAAAAUAAAUACUAAAGCAUGUAAGAAUUAAAUAUCACCUAUUUAAAUAGCAAUUACGCCGCUAAAAACAAGAUCACCACACCUGUACAAGAAAAGACAAGCAAGCCCAAAACAUCUGUUUGCAUCCACCUGCCAAGCACCUGUUCCGCUGUUUCAAUGCCAUUUGAUUGCUGGAGAUGUAGAGGCUCUUGUGAGGCUGGUCGUCACACAGGAAACUGUAUGCAGAGUCCAUCAGCCCAUGCUCUUCAUCACGAACUCAGUUGCUCUUUAAGACCAUCUCCCAGAGAUGAGGAAGAUGCGUUGAUCCAAACGAGACGCAGCCAAGCUUGGAGCAUCCUCUCUGCUCCAUCCCAAGGAGAACGGAAGAGCUGGCAAGCUGAGACACUACCAGUACUUUGUGGAAACCGACAUAUGAAUUUGUUCUACAAAUGUGCCAGGGACACACUGAUCCAACAGUUAGAUCACUUCCAGAAGACACGGAGUUAGAUCUCUGAGUUCACUUCCAAUUGCUGACUACUACUAUCCAAUAAAAGAAAAAUUCUGCGUAAAGUAAACAAGGAAAAUGGAGGAGAUUCUGCUGGAAGGACAGAAGGGACAGCAAGCAUGGAGAUUUAAGUCAGAGGAAGACCGACUGUCACUGCAGAGGGGAAAGGGCAUGAGAAUGAGCACUGCAAGAAAAAAAAAUCAUCAAAAAAUUCCUCCUUCUCUGGGAUGAAUACAGGGGAGUAAAUGUGUUCCUACAAAAAUUGAAUUAUGUAGUGAUUUUAAAUAUGGUGUGAGAAUGAAGGACAUAUGAGCUGCAACGAGAGAACCAAAGAGGAAUUAUGUGAUGUGUUCAGGCUGGGAGUGUGCCUCACAUGACAACAGGAAGAGAGGAAAGGUGGAGGAAAAAAAGAUCAGAAUCUACUCUAUUCUGAGCCAUUAAUGUCAGCCAUGUUGAUGUUUUGUAGCUAGUUAUAUUUGCUGAUGGUUCCCACGCACUCAUGACAUUCAACUUUGCAUCAUCCCCUAAAAACUGGAAAGAUGUCUCUCUGAGAAUGACCUAUAGCUUUGAUAUCACCAUAACUAAUUUCCUUUUCCUAAAGUAAUGGUGCCUACUCUUGAGGAGCAGAAUGCUGUGAGCUUUUAUUUCCAGUCUGAGGAUAGUUCUGUGAUAGGUGGAAUAAUGCCAGAACCUACUUUUCAUUAGAUUGUAUGAUCUGACUUUAUCUUGCACGCUCUGUGUGGUUUGAGUGAAUAAAUCACACCAGAAUUUAUGGGGUUUUCAUCCUUACAAAUGAAUCUUCAUCAUUACUAUGUGGAUAUAAGUAUUCUUGGGCUGCAGAAGACAGUGAGACCCACCAGGGCAACACAAACUGAUUCCAACUUGCCACCUACUACUCCCUUAACCCAAAACUCCAAGGACCUGGGCCACUGAAACACUGGGAUCCCAUAGGGACCUGCCUGGCCAUUCCAUUUGGGGUUUGCAGGACAGGAUCCUGGUCUUUUGUGAAAACUGUUGACUAAAAAUUUGAUUUUCUCUUUCUCUUUUUUUCUUUUACCUUAAGAAGGGCAGAAGAGGAAUGGCCAGAAGCCACCUCCUUCUUUUUUGGACCAGCCUGCUUUUCUAAGGGCAACAAAAACCAACAGAAGUGGUAGAGAAGAUGAAUGCAUCUUCCCUCCCUUCACAUAAAUUUGUGGGUUUUUUUUUCCUGUUGUUGUUGUUUUAUCCUUUUUUGUUUUAUUAUUUUUCCUAUUUAUUUUGCAAUUGGAAAAGUCCUGGGAUUUCAUUAACAACUUCCCAGGAUGACAGUGAGACCCUCACGACCCAGCAGCGAGUCCCAGUUCCCACCUGGGUGCCUCUGGAGAGUGACAAAUCUCUUGGAUGUGCUCUAACAUCCCAGAAGCACAGGCCAGGAACAUCUGUCUGUUCCUUCCCUUCCUUCAGACUGCCCCGAGGAGGAGGGAGGCAGGCAAGUAAUGAUACGAAAGGCAAAGGCUCAACUGGCCGUGUUACAUUAGCCAACUCAAAUAAUUCCUCUUGGCUGUGGAAACAGCCUUCCCAUCCAAAGCGGUCUUUUUUUUUUUUUUUUUUCCCUUUUUCCCCCCCAAAAAACAAGAACAGCUUAUUUCCAAUUUUGGGCAGGUUCCUUGGCCAUGGGCCAGCUCUCCCCAUUGCCUCUCCGUGCUACUUCCCAAUGACCCUCAAGUGACCUUACUGAAUGCCACGGGGACCAAACCUUACCGAACAGCAAAAUCAAAGUAUGUAAAUGAAGCUUGGAUUAUUACAUAUAUAAUGAUGAAAAUGUUUUUCCUAUGCUAUUGCCUGUGCCCAGCUUCCUUCCCUACCACUCUGAGUGCUUCAGAGCUGUGUAUAGCUGUUGAGCUGAAGCACCCAAGAAUGGCUCUGAAGCAGGAAGAGAGAUCAAUCUGCAGGCUGGUUUUCCAGGCACUUUCUUUCUCAUUCUCCACAAGAUAGUUGAUAUUCCUCCGGAUUUUGCUGUUAUUAUUUGGGUGUCUCUACUUCACAGAAAAGGGCAGAUGAAUGCCUUUUGCAGCCUCUUCAGUCCACUCUAGUUCUAUUUUAGGCUGAGAAGACUGUGCUGCUUGGGUAGAUGGGUGCAUUUCAUGCCAACAGCUUAGUCUUUCUGCAAAGUUAGGCAUCUCAGUUUGAAAAAAUAAGUACUAGGUAAAGCUGUUUGAAUCAGUGCAGGAAGCUGAGUUGCUAUCAGAUGUAUAUGGCAUAAAGUACGUAUCCUGAUAGGUACUCUUCUUCAAAGGAAAAGUGGUGAUGUUUACUUGUGCAUUUUAAUGAUGAGAGGAUGCGUACUGUGACACGAAAUCCUAUCCACUGUACCAGUUCAACAGCAUUUAAACACUGAAGUCUGAGCUACGCAUAACCAAUGGGAAGGAUGUGGAAGAACGCUUGCCUGAAGACACCUACUCUUUAUUUUUAUUACAAAGUCAAUUACCAUUUCAAAGCAGCCAUGUGACAUGUAUACUGUCAGGAGCCAGAUGUUGGCAUUGUGAUAUUGUGACAUUAAUUUAAAAGAAGAGUCUUUUUUUUUUUUUUUAAAUGCUGACUUCCCAAGGAUUAAGUUGGAUAUUCUCAAUGUAGUUGAAAAAAGAAUUUACAUUCCCCAAAGACAAACAUUCUUGUUUUCUGUUUGGUUUUAUAACUCAGUCAUUUCUCUAUUGAAGAAGCACAAAACAGAAAGAACUUUUGGUUUCAGGUAGUUUCACUUCAGCUGAUCUUUCUAAAAGCAUGCACCUUUUUAGCUGUUUCAGUUAUGAAUCAUAGAAUGGCCUGGGUUGAAAAGGACCACAAUGCUCAGCCAGUUCCAACCCCCCUGCUAUGGGCAGUUGCCAACCACCAUAUCUUCUUUAUAAAGGGAAGUUUAUUAAGUAAAAUUUGGGUUACUGAGGUUUUAGCACAUGUUGCAUUGAAUCCCUUUUUUUCCCCCCUAAAUCACGUGGUUAAACUUAGUUUGGGUCUCUUACAACCAGAAUCCCUGCUGACUCCGCUCUGGUCCAGGCAGAUUGAACUGAGUCGCAACACUGCUGGUACGCGUCCUCAUCCCCAGUGCCAAGAAAAACCCUUUCCCUCUGUGUUUUCUUGUUAGCAAUACUGCUAUGGAGGCCAAGGACUGACAAUCUUUCUCUUAAUUCUCAAAUCCUCUCCUCCAACAGGGAAGAAGGAAAAAGAUUGAAAAACCUUUUGCUAUUGUUUGGUUGUUUGAUCAUAAAGGGGAACUAGACUGCCAAGCCAGCACCCCAGCAGCCCUAAAUCUAUGUGUAAAAUAUGGGCAAAAGGAGAGAAAAGAUUUAUUGUUAUUAUUAUCAUUACAGACUACCUUUAUAAUAUAUGUGUUUCACUUAAAUUAAUAUUUUAUAACUCUAUAUCAGCCUCUGCAGCCACCCAACAGCAUUUCUUAUUUAUCCAGUCGGACAUACUAAUUUGCUUUUAUCAAAAUACUUGAGAAAUAAUUGUCUUACCUCUCCUAGGACAUGCUACAGGGUUUAUUCUCUCCUUGCUAUCUACAUAGUUAUAAAUCCUCAUGCAUUGAGAGCAGAAUAGGCUUUAUGUGUCUAGCAAUUUCUUAUGAUUUCUAGGCUAUUAUCCCCAAAUCCUAAUUAACCAUUUUUAAAAAUAAUGUGGCCUUUCUACCACGUGAGAUAUACCAACAUGAUAAGAUACGAUGUGAAAGUCCCAAGUAUAAUGUAAUUCUGCUGCUUUACUUUUCCUCUUUUAUUAGAGAUUUCUAACAUAAUACUGCAUUUUCAUCCAAAGUGACAGGAUUCAGUACAUAGUUUGUAGUAUAUGUUUUGCAAACUGCCAGAACAGAGCCAUUGAAUUUAGUUUUCUAAUAAUCAUACAGCCAUACAACACGCCCGUACAUGUCAGAAACUGAAGAAAGCAAAUUUAUACACAACAAUGUGUAUUUUGUAGAUAGCGAUAACCCACCCAAAUCUAAUUUAAUCAAAUAUUUAAAGAGGUAAUAAUUAAUUUUUAAAGAAUUGAAGUGAACCGUAACUAGGAGGAAAUGUUAUUGUUUAUUUUUAAUGCCAGAACUGUAUUCCUGAUGCAUUUUUAAUAUUUCAUUAAGGUGGUAACUUUCAUGGCGUAUUUUUUCAAGUUUCAUAUCUCCCUGAUUUAUUUCUUUUCUUCUGAAGAAAGGUAAAAUGCUAUAGGGAAACUUAAAGCUUAGAAUGAUGCAUUCUUUGAGGAGCUCUUCCUAAAACUUCCUGGAGUCUUUUUAAGCAGAAUUCUUCUUAAGCCUUUCUGGACAAGCAUUCUAAAACCAGAAGUCUUUUAAACAAGCUGAGGUACAGCAUCUGCUUCUGAGCUGAGCAAAGGGUUCUUCUUUCAGCCAAUGAAUGUGUUCAUUGGGUACUACUUUCUAUUCUGUCUCCGAGCUAUUACUCAUCACUCAUCAUUCUUACUUUCCAGAAGAGAUAUCUGCAAGAAUGGUUUUAAAGCCCAUUGCAUUUCAAACCUGUGUUCUGCCCUUCCUCAGUCCUUUGUUUUUUGUUUUAUCCCUUCUUUUCGAUGGAGCGUCUCUCACGUUUUUGAGCCUUUCAUACUCAAACUGUGGAAGCCUGUUUAUUUCACUCUGGCUCCAGCCCUAGUUAAAGGUGUGAACUACCAAAGUGGAAGGGGGCACAUGCACAUUAACACUGCUGUGGAAAACGUCGCCUGACAGAUGGAUGCAUGUUAAAUGGGUGUUUGAAGAAAGGUGUUUGCAAUAAAAAUCCUGAGUAUGGCAUCAGAGGAAGACCACACACAAUUUUCUACUUUUAUUUCUGUAAUAUAUAGGGGCCAGGCUACUUCUGGUCUGCUUUAUACUGUCACUUAAUCAUAUUUGCUAUUUUAUACUAAUAAUUUGUAUAUUAAUAUUUGUGUGUGUAUUUCAAAGUCUGGCUGUUUUCAAGGGUCUGCUCUGCAGCACAAGGGUCUGAGUCAACAUAGUAUAAAUCAUUGGUUUAUUCAAUAAACAAAAUAGUGAAAGGAUAAAUUGAAUUUCUCCAGUUUCAGUCACCAGUUCUUGAUCUCUGGGGGAUACUCACCUAAUAUGUUAGUUAUGGAGCUAUGAAUAUGAUGUGCAGAUACAUCCUUGCUUGGGUUUAUCUACCUUGACCUUAUCUACCCUAAGAACUGAAGUGUUUAAAUUCUGGUUGAGAAUUGAAGCAGGUGAUUAGAACUAGAUGAUCUUUGAGGGCCCUUUCAACCCAAGCCAUUCUAUGACUCUUUGAAAGAGGAACUGUAGAUAAGUUCACUCAAUUUCUGUUCCUAAGUCCUUAGCUGUUCUCUGGAUGGAUAACAGGAUUUUUUAGGCACAGCAUUGCAUUCUCUACCAUCUUUGCUCUUUUCCCAAAAUAUUUCUGACUCAGUCAUCUCCUGCCUACACAGCGAACUUUUGCGCCCCCUGACUUAGGCUGAAUUGGUUUCUCUUUAUGUACAAACAGGACUGCUUUUUCUUUCCUGAUUUCAUAAUUGCUAUUUCUAUUGGUUUGCUUCUUUUAGUUUUCAAUUCUACUUCAACUUGACUAUGAAGAUUAUCAAGAAAUAAAGCAUGAUUCACAUCUACACAUAGUUUACGACCUUUAGAUUCAAGUCCCUUUAUAUAAACUUGCAAAUACGAAAGGAUACGUCAUAAGACCUUGUAGGCACCCAAACUGUCAGUGAAUUCAGCCUGAAACUGUUUUUUUCAGCUUUAUUGAGACCUCUUUAUAAGCUGUGCUUGUGUUAUGACAAUAGAUUGUUUACAGAUUCUUAAAAUGUCCUGAGUUGAUGGAAAAAAAAGGGCAAUUUUUUUCCUUACAAAUACCACUUGACUUUGAGGAGUGUUUGAAGCUACACAACCAGAAUAGGAACAUUCACACCCGCUGUACGAGUGGCUCAAAAACCCUGUCAUUUCUCUCAGGCCCAGCUCCAGCAAGCACUUACACACAUGCUUAACUUUAUGCACACGAGUAAUCCCAUUGAUUUAAUGGGAUUAUUCCCCUAUGCACAGUUACGCAAACAUAAGUGUUUGCAGGACUGGGGUCUAUUUCUCUUGCAAUGAUUUGAAACCUGUGGAAGAAAACGCUAUAUGCAAGUUAGAUAUUAUUUAAUGGCCACAUAUUAAGCCUGAAUAUUUCUGCUGAAAUUGGUGAGGCUGUGUGAGUUUCUUUCUGGCUGAGAAACUGUCCUCUUCUGUGCACAGUGCACACUCCUAGCUUGCUAUGGUGCACCGUGGCUAUCACAGCAUACAAAGGCAUAUGGGAACUGUUGAGUCACAGCCUGAACCACUGACUGAGCACCUGGGGAAAGGACCUGGUCAGCCCUGGGAGCACAGGUGAAGGCAAUUCACCUGUAUGACUGGAAGGGGUGCAGCCUGGCUCCACCUCUCUUAGAUCUCAUUUAAGGGCUGACUGCCACUGGGGAAGGAUCUCCUUCUGGAGAUCCCUCCUUGAUGGAGCUUUCCUUUGUGAACCUGGAAUCAUCUGAUACAGGUGAGCAAUCUUCUUCCCUUCUGUUAUAGCACCUGUCUAUCAUGCUUAUCCUUCAUCAUUAUAUGUCUAGUGAAACACCUUUUCCCAUCAUAUUUAUCUGUCCAUUUACUACAAAAACAAAACGGAGAGAUAAUCAGUAGUAGAAGUACUAAGAGAGAAAAUUCUCCAUGUCCAGAGGUUACUGUAUUUCAAAGCAUUGAUUUAUAACUUGACAAUGACAUUUACAAAACGUUCCUCUAUGUCCAGGAUAUCCUUCUCAUUAAUGCAAUAACAUAAUAACUCAUAAAUAUUUCAUAUAUGUAGAAAAGGCUUACUUUAUAUAUACAUAUGUGUAAAUAAAGAAAUCUAUACACAUAGAGAUGUAUAGUAGAAAAGUACUUCCAAGCAUCAAAAAAACUAUGCAUAAAAUUGUAUGCUCGCAUGCACAGGAUGAUCAUUGUUAUGAAAAUAACUUUGGUAAAAAUAACUGAACUUGAAGUUGCCUCUGACUUGGAUAGUUCACUUUUGAUUUGAAAUUCUGCAGCCAAGAUAAUUUUUAAAAAUUUAGGGCUAGUAACCAUCUGCCAUAAAUGAUAGAAAUUAAAUAUAAAUAAAAUAGUACUUCUACUACCAGUGAUGGGAAUCACAAGCCAAAUGUAUCCAUGGUCUAGGCAGCAGGAACACUUGUAGAACGAAAGCAGCUAAAGGAGCUGUUUUGGCCCAGACAUGUUUUGAUGUGUAGUGUAUCCUGUUGGCUGAACAACAGCAUUAUUAAGCAAUUUGGGCUGGAGCAUCACUGGGCUCUGUGAAGAAUUUGAAGAUCUUGACUGGAGCGUGUUGCAAGAAGAAUCAUGCUGUGUCAUUCAGUAAAAAUAUAAUCAGUCUUACGCCACUGGCACAUUCAAACACCUAGUGGGAUAUGCUGGGCAUCAGUGUUCAAGGUUUUAUGUAAGGUAACAGCUGCUUUGGUCAGGCAGUUAAUUAAAUGUGUUAAUUUUCCAUACAACCAACAGUAGUGACAACAGAUCAAAGUGGAAUUUUAUGACAUUUCAGGGUUCCCUUAUGUGAUCACAAUGGUGGAUGGCACCCACGCUAUCUUUCACAUCCCUUCACUGUAUGAUGCUGCCUUUCCCCUCUGGAAAGCUUCAGUCUUUGACUCUGCAAAUACUCCAAUGGUAAUACUCUGAUACUACUUGCUGGAUAUUGCCAGUUGUCCCAACUCCAAUCUUGAAAAGCUGCUUGGGCUUAUUCCCAUACUGAUGUUGGUUUAGUCUGAAGAUGAAGCAAUUCAUUUGCAAAGCUAUUUUUAAUUUUCUCCCUCCUGUCUUACAUUUCUUAUGAGAAAUAUUCAAUGUAGUGUGGAAAUAAACUAGUAUGGUAUUUUUGAAUAGAUACUGUAUUCUUCAGAUGUAGAAUUACAGAAAAUUAUUUCCUUUUCCUUGAUAGUUCCGUUUGCUGCAUUGCGAGAUGACAAAUUCAACCUUUUCCAUAACAUUGCUACUUUCAUAACACAGUAAUAACUCAAAGGCAUCGGGAAAGAUAAGGUAAAUGGAGAUGAUUCAUGGAAACGACUAUGAAAGCUUUUUAGAAAUAAUGGACUGACAAAUAUGAACAAUAUUUGAAUAAUAUAAAUGAACUAGACAAGUUUCUUCCCCACCAAAUGGAUAUAACACUGUGAAGAAAUGUGGAAGAAAUGUAAAACAACAAGUUAAGAGUAUAAGGACUGACCGAAAAUGAGUCACACUCCCACGCUUUUGGCUCACAAGUUGAAAUACUUGUUUUUACUUGAUUGGGUAGCCACUAAAAGUAUAUAGUAAGAUUUGUUUGAAUUUGAUCUGUCACUUUUUUGAUGGGUGACAAUGAUUUUAUGACAUAUGCCACAUAGUGUCACAUCAUUCAAAACACAUUAAGUCACGCUCUAUCCCGUCAUUUCUGAAGGCAAUAAUGCUAUUCAAUGUGACGUGACAUGAGGAGAUGUAACACAACUCAACAGCUGAAAAAAAUAAAAGGAAAGUUUUGUAGGUGUGACGUGGGUUCCUGAAAUUACAUUGUAAUGAAUCUUAGGAGGAAGAUCCCAGGAGCUAAGUUUGUAAAAUAGAUCCAUUGCUUGACUUGUGUCUUUAGGAUGAUGAGCUCUGGGUUACCGUGCACAGAGGGGCAGUGGGUGGAUGCUACAGUCAUGACAGCAGUCUCACUGGGCUCAGAGGCACAAACUAGCUCUUCAGGAACUACUUGUUGGAGGUUCUUAUGCCUGAAAAGAGACAAGACUGGAACUCUCUAUGGCUUGAAACACCUCUGAGUGUUUUAGAGCAUUUAAAAUUACUGCAGCCUUGAGGAUGUCCUAGGCAGAACCCAUUACAAGCUAGAUAUUUGCUGGUUCUAAUCCUCUAACAGCUCCUUAUGGCUGUUUACAUGGAUGGAUAGUAACAGGAAAAGAGGGAAUGGUCUUAAACUGAGACAGGGGAGGUUUAGGUUGGACAUUAGCAGGAAGUUUUUCACACAGAGGUUGGUGACGCACUGGAACAGGUUGCCCAAGGAGGCUGUGGAUGCCCCAUCCCUGCAGGCAUUCAAGGCCAGGCUGGAUGUGGCUCUGGGCAGCCUGGUCUGCUGGUUGGCAACCCUGCACAUAGCAGGGGGUUGGAACUG
ensembl:lncRNA